rnacentral:rRNA from 1 species
AAUCGGUCCGCCGAAAGCCUGAGGUUUCCUUGGCAAUGAAAAUCAGCCAAGGGUUAGGCGGUCCUAAGGCAAUGGAGAAAUCCGCAGCCGAUGGACAGACGGUUAAUAUUCCGUCCCUAUCUUAAAUAUUUCUAAGGAGUGACGAAGUUCAGUAUGCUAGGCGCCUUAUUGGAUUGGCGUUAUUGGUGUAAUGGUUUCUGAUUGGUAAAUCCGUCAGAAUGCGUUUAAUCGCAAACCCAAGCUCAGAUAAAAUUUUUAACUUCGGUUAAAAAAAUUUAGCAAAGCGAGCUCCCAAGAAAAACUUCGUAGAUUAGUUUAGGAUAUCCGUACCGAAAACCGACACAGGUAGGCAGGGCGAGUAGCCCACGGCGAACGAGUGAUUCGUGGUUAAGGAACUCGGCAAAAAAGCGGCCGUAACUUAGGUAUAUGGCCUGCCCCGAUGUUGAGUCGGGGCCGCAGCGAAAGAUUCCCUGGCGACUGUUUAUCAAAAACACAGCUCCCUGCUAACUCGUAAGAGGAUGUAUAGGGGGUGACGCCUGACCUAUGCGAGAAGGUUAACGGUGGAGGUGAUAUUUCUAGCAAUAGAGGUAUUGCUGAUGCCCGAAGCCCUCGUCAAUGUCAGCGAUAACUAUAAUCGUUCUAAGGUAGCGUAAUUCCUUGUCUGGUAAGUUCAGACGUGCACGAAAGGCGUAACGACUGGGGAACUGUCUCAACCACGAGCUCGGUGAAAUUGCGAGUCCAGCGAAGACGCUGGGUACCUGCAGCAAGACGAAAAGACCCCGGGAGCUUUACUGCAACUUAGUAUUGGCUAUAGAGUUUUGAUGCGUAGCAUAGAAGGGAGGCUUUGAGACCGCGUUUUCGGAUGCGGUGGAGCCGUCAGUGAAAUACCUUUCUUUAAAACUUUAUAAUCUAACCGGCGCGGAAAAAACGCGUUGGAACAGUGCUUGGUGGGUAGUUUUAGUGGGGCGCUAUCCUCCAAAAUCGUAACGGAGGAGUCCAUUAAGGUCGGCUAGCUUCGGAUGGAAAUCGAAGCGAUAGGGCAAAUCCAAAAGCCGGCUUAACUGCAAGGCAUACAUGCCGCGCAGAUGCGAAAGCAGGGAUUAGUGAACUGUUUAUGGUUCGUAGAAACGUAAACAAUCAUCGGAUAAAAGCUACCCCGGGGAUAACAGGCUAGUCGCUUCCAAGAGUCCAUAUCGACGAAGCGGUUCGGCACCUCGAUGUCGGCUCAUCUUAUCCUGGGGCUGGAGAAGGUCCCAAGGGUUUGGCUGUUCGCCAAUUAAAAAGGUACGUGAGCUGGGUUCAAACCGUCGCGAGACAGGUUGGUCUCUAUCUGCUGCAGGCGUUGAUACUUGAGGAGCGUCAUCUCUAGUGAGAUUUUAGGACGCUACUUUGCGGAGCAAUCCGCAUUGAAAAUUCGGCUGUAACGGUGAAGUCUUCAGAAAUUAUUUAGUCCGUGUUAUAAUUAAGAUGCUUGGGGACCAAUAAUUUUUAAGAUAAUACCGUGGGAAGUCGAAUAAAAAUUACAAAAAGCGACUGGGCUUACAUUGCCGGAUUUUUUGAUGGCGAUGGAAGCUUAAUGGUUCAAUUUAAAAAUCGGAGAAAUACC